UCCGGUUUGGCACCGGCAGUCGCCCUAGAGUGCCCGGCUUUACCCGCUGGUAACUAGGGCCGAGGGUUGCGCUCGUUGCGGGACUUAACCCAACAUCUCACGACACGAGCUGACGACAGCCAUGCAGCACCUGUGCACGGGCUCCGAAGAGGGGCUACCGUUUCUGGCAGCUUUCCCGUGCAUGUCAAGCCCAGGUAAGGUUCUUCGCGUUGCGUCGAAUUAAACCACAUGCUCCACCGCUUGUGCGGGCCCCCGUCAAUUCCUUUGAGUUUCAGCCUUGCGGCCGUACUCCCCAGGCGGGGCACUUAAUGCGUUAGCGACGGCACCCAGGGGGUCGCUCCCCCAGGCACCUAGUGCCCAUCGUUUACGGCGUGGACUAC
rnacentral:misc_RNA from 1 species